AUUGAACGCUGGCGGCAGGCUUAACACAUGCAAGUCGAGCGGGGUGAUGGUGCUUGCACUAUCACUUAGCGGCGGACGGGUGAGUAAUGCUUAGGAAUCUGCCUAUUAGUGGGGGACAACAUCUCGAAAGGGAUGCUAAUACCGCAUACGUCCUACGGGAGAAAGCAGGGGAUCACUUGUGACCUUGCGCUAAUAGAUGAGCCUAAGUCGGAUUAGCUAGUUGGUGGGGUAAAGGCCUACCAAGGCGACGAUCGGUAGCGGGUCUGAGAGGAUGAUCCGCCACACUGGGACGGAGACACGGCCCAGACUCCUACGGGAGGCAGCAGUGGGGAAUAUUGGACAAUGGGGGGAACCCUGAUCCAGCCAGGCCGCGUGUGUGAAGAAUGCCUUAUGGUUGUAAAACACUUUAAGCGAGGAGGAGGCUCUUUUGGUUAAUACCCAAGAUGAGUGGACGUUACUCGCAGAAUAAGCACCGGCUAACUCUGUGCCAGCCGCCGCAGUAA
rnacentral:rRNA from 1 species